GACGAACGCUGGCGGCGUGCUUAACACAUGCAAGUCGAACGGAAAGGCCCUGCUUUUGUGGGGUGCUCGAGUGGCGAACGGGUGAGUAACACGUGAGUAACCUGCCCUUGACUUUGGGAUAACUUCAGGAAACUGGGGCUAAUACCGGAUAGGAGCUCCUGCUGCAUGGUGGGGGUUGGAAAGUUUCGGCGGUUGGGGAUGGACUCGCGGCUUAUAAGCUUGUUGGUGGGGUAGUGGCUUACCAAGGCUUUGACGGGUGGUCGGCCUGAGAGGGUGACCGGCCACAUUGGGACUGGGAUACGGACCAGACACCUACGUGAUGCAGCAGGGGGGAAUAUUGCACAAUGGUCGGAAGCCUGAUGCAGCAACGCCGCGUGCGGGAUGACGGCCUUCGGGUUGUAAACCGCUUUCGCCGGAGACGUAGCGUGCGUGACGGUAAUGGGUAAAGAAGCACCGGCUAACUACGUG
rnacentral:rRNA from 1 species